rnacentral:rRNA from 1 species
AUACGGAGGGUGCGAGCGUUAAUCGGAAUUACUGGGCGUAAAGCGUACGUAGGCGGUUUGUUAAGUUAGAUGUGAAAGCCCCGGGCUUAACCUGGGAACUGCAUUUAAAACUGGCAGACUAGAGUUUGAUAGAGGAGAGUGGAAUUUCAGGUGUAGCGGUGAAAUGCGUAUAGAUCUGAAGGAACAUCAGUGGCGAAGGCGACUCUCUGGAUUAAAACUGACGCUGAGGUACAAAAGCGUGGGUAGCAAACAGGAUUAGAAACCCUAGUAGUCC